UGGAAAAUAUGAUUUAACUCAGCUUUUCUUGAACAUUUAUUUUCAUAUUGCAGCUAUUCAAGAUUUCUUUCCACUGAAGAUAUGGAUUUGCUUUUCUCAGUUUAUCCUGUCCUAACUCUAAUGCUGAGAAUCUGAGAGAAAAGAUAUAUCCUUGAAUUUACACCUCAUCCUUAAAUUCUGUACUUGAAGCAUCAGCCUAAAUUAUGAACUCAAGUUUCACCCUCAAUAAAUAAUCAUUCUCUACUGAACCUGAACAUUGCAUAUAAGGCACUGGAGGCAAAUACAGGCACAGGGGCAGGCGCUGGCAGCGAGCCUUGGAACAGCACGUGGGUUACAAGCCCCAGAAUGCCGCAAGCUGCGAACCCUGGAGCAGCUGAAUGUCAGUGCAAAGCAGUCUGGGGCUUGGAGUGGAGCGGGAACGGCAAUUGAACUGGGGUAUGGCUCAGGCGGUCAAACCACAUGCGUGGUCCUGCGCUGAACUGCUACACUGUAAUGUUUAUUUAAAAUUCCUACCUUACUGUAAUGUCAUUCCUUUAACGUUAUCCUAUUUUUAACUUAUUUUUCAACUCUGUAAGUAAUACAACUACUUUUAUUCCUCUGCUGUAUCCAAGAAUUGUACCUCUGUACGUGUACCUAAGAUGUCACCAUAAGAUGGCAGACAUUGUAAAAGCUUUUCAUUGUAUUCCUACAGUGGAGUACAUAUGACAAAAAAAUGAUAUUGUAUUGU